rnacentral:rRNA from 1 species
CUACGGGUCGCUGCAGUGGGGAAUAUUGCACAAUGGGCGCAAGCCUGAUGCAGCCAUGCCGCGUGUAUGAAGAAGGCCUUCGGGUUGUAAAGUACUUUCAGCGGGGAGGAAAGGAGUAAAGUUAAUACCUUUGCUCAUUGACGUUACCCGCAGAAGAAGCACCGGCUAACUCCGUGCCAGCAGCCGCGGUAAUACGGAGGGUGCAAGCGUCAAUCGGAAUUACUGGGCGUAAAGCGCACGCAGGCGGUUUGUUAAGUCAGAUGUGAAAUCCCCGGGCUCAACCUGGGAACUGCAUCUGAUACUGGCAAGCUUGAGUCUCGUAGAGGGGGGUAGAAUUCAAGGUGUAGCGGUGAAAUGCGUAGAGAUCUGGAGGAAUACCGGUGGCGAAGGCGGCCCCCUGGACGAAGACUGACGCUCAGGUGCGAAAGCGUGGGGAGCAAACAGGAUUAGAUACCCGGGUAGUC